ACAGCCUCCUUGGGCAACCUGUUCCAGUGCCUCACCACCCUCUGUGUGAAAAACUUCCUCCUCAUAUCUAACCUAAACCUCCCCUGUCUUAGUUUAAAACCAUUCCCCUUGUCCUGUCUAUGAAAGCUGAUGAGGAAUACAAAGAGCAGGCUAAUGGAGCUGUGGCCUACAAAUGAUUUUUGUAAACAUAGAAGCUUCCAUUCUAUCCUGCAUACUUGUGAUUAAAUCAGUAAAAGAUCUUGUACAACUGGACAAAAAUACCAGAUCAUGAGAGAAAUUGGUCUUUUGCUUCUAAAGAGCUUUUUAAAGUGGUUUUAAAGCUUGUAUGAGAGAGAAGGACUUGUAAAGUGAUGGCGUUAAUAUUUGAUGAAAUGGAGAGAAGGGCUUGGAGUAGCGCAUUUAGCUUUGCAUCUCACCUACAUAAAAAGCUUUAGCAGCAAAAAAUGCAGGCAGUAUGGAAAGCCAUAUUGCUUUUGUUGUUGUUGUUGUCUUUUCCAUUUUCUUUGUAGUUUAAUUUGCUUUAUAAUUGCUGUUCUUCUCCAGUGUUAUGCUGACAGCUGAAGUGUCAGCUUUCUGGAGCACUGCUCGUGUGCUCAUGCAGUUUCAGUUCUUGUUGUUGCUGUUACAAAAUCGUCCUGUUUCUUCAAUUUUUCAGUCUCUGCAGACGUUGUCAAAAUCCUUGGUUGUUUCUUUUGAUAGCUCCUUCUAUCUUCACGUAACAAUUUUGUCCAAAUGGCUUGUUCUCAUUCUUUGUAAAUUUUCAAUUAUUUCCUUUCUGUUUUCCUGCUUUACAGACAGUUUAGAAGAAUGUGUUGGGAAGAUUCGAAGAAAAAGAAAACCCUUUAUUUUUUGAAAAGAGGUAGUUAUCUCAUCAUCUUCAGAUGUGGAACAUGAGUUCUUUGAUCUUUUUAUGUAUUUGGAACCGUUGAGCCUCCAGAGUUCCUCCUGAUGAAGAUCUAAACUGCUGUUUACAGACUGAAGGCAGCCAAGUGCUACAAGACUUCCCUCCGGAGCGUGUCGCGUGGACCUGAGCUGCAUUUCCAUCUUGUGAUCUUUCUGAUCCCGGCACUUUUGGAACUCCAGAGAGCACAGAUGGGUUUUUCUUACCCUGGGAAAAAGUGAAGAGCAGAGAGGAAGGACACUCAACAUGAGCCAAGGGAGGAGUCCCCAAAGCAGCCCACAGCAUGGAGCACCUCAGUACAGCUCAGGAGCAUGGCAGAAUUAAGUCAUGCCACUGCAUCACCAGCAUACUUUCUGAGGUAUAUCUGAUUCAUGAAUUCAGUGCAAGUUGCUACAGGUUUUCUCCAAAUUCCUGUUAAACUGUUUCAAAAAAAAAAAAUUCUCUGUCCCUUUGCCAAGGAGGUAUUUAUUGAUAUUUAUGCAUUUCUUUCUCCUUCAUGUGCUAAUGUUACCCUGUGGAGACCCAGGAACUCCUCUCCUGCCUGCUGAUGCAUGUGCCAUGCGAAUGGGUGAUUCAAAACCUUUCAAAAACUAUGUUCUCAGUCAUUUGUUCCCCAUCUGCAGACAGAAACUCCAACCAUGCUGCAGGUUAUUGCAGAUGCUGAACUUGUGCAAGAUGUGGUUUUUCUCCAGCAUCUUCAUUCACAGUGCUCCUGUGAGAGGAGUGGGGUGAAUAUGGAUAAAGGACUACAAAGGUGGUCAAGAGCUUGGCAGUAAAUAGAGCACCAGAUCCAGUGGUACUUCUGAGAGCCAGCACAGAGGUAUGUAUGACACGUGCGUGCCAUGGCCAUGGGCUUGGCCAGUGGCCAUGCUCCCCUCAGUGAGCUGGGGUGGGGGGGGAACCAAACAAAGCUGGGUUGAUGCUAUGGGGAUGAUGUGUUGCAGCCUGCAGGCAUUUUUGUCAAGAGCAUCUCCAGGCUCAUUUUCUAGGGGAAGCAUCACACAUCCUGAUGCACAGAGCCUCCAAGGGCCGGGCUGGGAGCGCAGCCGAGGUGGCUUAAGUACAUGGCAGAUGGGCGCCAGCAGAGGUUGGAGUCAAGGGGAUUUUUCGACGUGCCUUUUUUUAAUCUCCUCUUAAGCAGACCCACUCAAGGAAAGCUGUAAUUAUUUUAAUCUCUUCUUUCCCCUUCCCACUCUGCAAAUGCACUUGGCUUUGCAAGGCCUCAGAGGCAAUUUUAUGGAGGAGAAACAUGCCAAUUUUUUUUUUUUUUUUUAGAUUUUAAUUAUUUCAGAUAGAUACAUUUCUAAUGAUGUGCUAGCCAAGGAACAGAGGGUUUUUAUUUAUUAUUAUUACUAUUUGUUAUAUUUUUACUCACUAAAGAAUGAAUCAACCAUUCCCAAAAGCCACCAUUAUGGAUUGGGGAGACAUGGCACACAGCCACCUCGUUCCUUUCCUGCCCUCAGCCCUCUGCAGCUGCUGGGGACUUGCUGUUAGCACUUGAUUGGGUGCAAAGUUGCCAUUCAAAUGGGAUCUGUGGUCAGGCCCUGCCUGCUAGCACAGCAUUGUAAUGUAGGACCUUGGUGUAAACACUAUCUGCUGGUGAUUAGAGGUCAUCCUGCAGUUCUCCUUUCACCAGAGCAUAAAUACAAGCAUGGGUGCUGCAGAUGUCCUUUCAGGAUUGGACAGGCUGGAUUUAAGCUGGCUAGGGGCAAUGUGCAUCUUUGGACCAGGAGUAACAGGAAUUCUGCAGAAAAGGAAGUUUCAAGAUGAGCUCUGUGUAAAAGAUCAUACAAGAUAAGCAAAGAAUGGAAGGAAAGAAACCGGUGAAGCUCACCGUUGCAGAAGCUGUCAGCUGAAUCAGCUGUGCUGCGCUGCAGCACACAUCCACAGUAGCCGUGCGGAUGCUCCUCUUUUCAGAAAGCAAUCCCUACAGUUAUUUCUUCAGUAAAUUUGUUUUUUGGAUGUGGACAGCGGCUCUUCACCACGCUGCUGUGCACGCGGGAGGGACAUGAUCUGCAAAGCUUCUUCCCUGCCGUGCAAUAACACCGAGCGCCUCAUGGAAACGAGCCCAUUUCCCAUUAACAGCAGGACCUGAACAAAACCAGCAAGGCAGCGACAGCCCAUUCAUUCCAGAGCCCUUCUCCAUCCCCACUCUGGAUUGCUACAGGCUAGAGCACAAACAAGAGAGUCACAACCUAUUGGUAGUUCCACGCAGUUCGAGCUAAUGCACUGCUCUUCCUCUGGAGAAACACAACUUCAAAUUCGCAUGCAAUUCACGAAAUUAAAAUGAACAGAGAGGUGUGUUGCUUUGGACCUGGGUGGUGACUCACCAAAACAUAACAGGCAUUUAAACACCACAUGCACACACACAAUCAAGGGCAGUAAGAAAUUUUAUAUGAAUGGCUUGGCGUUGUUUUCCCUCAGUAAAGAAGGGGACAGCCCGGUGACAGAUGACAGUGCUGGCUGUGUUAUUGAAGAUGAUCCUCCUCACUCUGCUGGGGAAGCACUGUGUGCUCUGUGGAAGACAUCAAUGAAAUCUGGCUUCUGGAGAUCUGCGCUGCUUUUGCAGUGUGUCAUUAAUGCUGAUUGUUAUUCCCAUUUCUCCAGUGAAAGCAUGUCUUUCUCCUCUACAACGUGUGAGUCAACAUUAGUCAGGCCUCAAAGGGCUCAGAGGAAAACCAAACAUACUGCAAGUCCAAUAUUACUUACCUUGUAUGCACUGCUGUCAUUUUAAAUUUCUACUGAUUACUUGAUAAAUGUAAGAGAAAAAUGAUGAUUAAGUAGGGGAAGAUGGUUUCCUAGAAUCAACGUCAAAGCACUGCAAUAUAAUCAUGGAAAUACAGAAUCAUCAAGGUUGGAAAAGACCACAAGAUCACCAAGUCCAACCCCAGCCCACCCCCACCAUGCCUGCUGCCCAUGUCCCUCAGUGCCACAUCCCCACGGCUCUGGGACACCUCCAGGGACGGUGACUCCACCACUCCCUGGGCAACCUGUGCCACUGCAUCACUGCUCUGAGGUGGAAUUUUUCCUACUAUUCCUCCAGCCACUUAUUUACCCAGCAAAGAUUUCACCCCUCCAAGUCAUGGGCUGCCAGCUUCUCCAGAAGAAUUCUGUGGGAGUCAGUGCCAAAGUUUAGGUAGAUCACAUGUAUGGCCUUUUCCUCAUUCACCAGGCAGGUCAGCUGGCCAUAGGAGGUGAGGUUGGUCAAGGAGUACCUGCAUUUUGUGAACCCAUGCUGGCUGGGUUUGAACCCCUGGUUGUCUGGCACAUAUCGUGUGACUGCACUCAAGAUCAUCUGCUUCAUUCUGUUCCCCAGUACCAAGGUCAGGCUGACAGGCCUGCAGUUCCCCAGAUCCUUCUUCCAAUCAUUUCUGUAGACGUGCAUCAUAUCAGCAAGUCUCCAGUUGUCUGGGAUCUCUCCAGUUGACCAAGACCACUGAUAGAUGGUGGAAAGAAGCUCGGCAAUCACAUCUGCCAGCUCACUCAGCACACCCAGGUGGAUCUCAUCCAACUCCAUGGACUUUUGACAGUACAGAAUAUCCACUAUGCCUGGAGCUGACAUUACAAUGGCCGAAAGCACCGAGUACCACUGAUUCCCAUCCUGGUUGUACACACUGUAAUUUGCUGUAACAUUGGAUGAGGCUGACCCUGACUUCAGCACUGUGCACCACAGUUGAAGAGGAAUUUGCACAGCGGAGGCCAGUUUGUAUUUACACACGUUAGAUCCAUUUUGCAUCAUGGUGGACUUUCAAACCUCCCAUGGCUGAGUGUGUGCCCACUGACAUGGAAAGCAACUAACACCACCAGCUCUGAAGAUCGUCUCUUUCUAUAAUGCAGCAGAAAGAAUCUUACAAUAUGUAACACCAAAGGAUGCUCUGGUAAAACUCUGUUCCUGAAACUUGCCAAGAAAAAUCUCCAAUGGGUAAAUGGGAAAGCUGGGUUGUUAACAUCUGAUCCAAAUUUAAUAAUCUGUAGAAAAGGUAUGCGCUGAAAGUGUGUGCCUUUAAUUAACUGCAAAUAAUCCCCCAAGGCAAAUAUUUAAUUACCUGCACAGCUUCUUACCUCUUUUAUGGCAUGACAAUAAGUUUAUAAAUCCAAGUUUGAAAGUAGAAUAUCUCACUGAUGUACAAGUUGCUAAAAUUUGCUCUUGCUGCACCUUUUUUUCACCCUAUUGUGGACUUAAAAUGCUCCUUACUGCUAUCAACUGUGCUGGACUUUCAUACUAGAAUGUCCCACUGUGCUGUGAGUUGCAAGGGAUUACUGUACCAGCCUGAAUUAGAGCAAAAAUCAAUUAGAAUCUCAUCAAAUUGCAAGUUCAGUCAAAAAAUGAGUUGAAGGACCUCUUGGUUUUCCGUGAGAAUGGCACUAAAAAUCUGAAGGGAAUUUGUCAACGUCUAGGACAAACUUUCAACCCAUUGACAUUCUGGUUUCACUGAUGUCUUUGACAAAGUCUUCAGGAUAAAUAGCAAGUCAAAGUCUGCAGCAUUCGCAGUUCAUAUUCAGAAUUACUAUAAUCAUUUAUUUGAAUGUUUGUAAAUGGUAGUGUGCUGACAAAGCUGGAAUCAGAAGUCUUCUGUCUUAAGGGCCCUCCCAAUAGCCAAAAGUGAUAACUAAGUGUGAUAUUAUCUGCUUUGGGUGGGAGGGAUGCACAGCUGUCUGUCCCACAAGGUCCUUAAAAUUAUUUCAUCUUACAUUGAUUGCACAGUACUUCAUACUGCCAGACCUGUGCCUUUAACCUCAGUCCACAGGUGCCACCUUUUCUCCCAGAAUGAGGAAUGGCUCCAAUUUCAUGCAAAAAUCAAUCCACAGCAUCAGAGGAACAAUUACACGCUUUGGUCAAUAAUAACAAAUGGAGCUUAAGGAGCCCUGUGCUUCGCAGAUACAAGCUCCCCAGUCACUGUUGUUUGUUGGGAAGCAUCGUGUAGCUCAUGGCAAACUAUACUCACUGGGCAGCAUGGGGAGCUCCCUGCAUUUCCACCCUAUGUCACUGCACUCAGCCAGAGACCACCUAUGCCAUUGGACACAUCUUCAGAUGUUCCCACACCUGUCUGCAUGCAUUUUAUUCUUAGGAGGCUGUAAGUUGGUGUUAAGCUUUCAUUUUGGAUUUAAACAGUUUUCUAAUUGUUCCAGGGUUCGAGAAAGCAAUUUAGUUGCACAGGAUUCAAAAUUAUUCCAGGCAAUACAAAACAUUCAUUUUGCCCAUAUUAUUUUUUUGUCAAGCGUGCUUCUGAAAAGAGCAGAACACGAACAGGAGUUGCUGCCUCUCUGAAAUGAAGCCUCCUGUUCCUACCUCAGCAGCAGAGAUCGGCCCUUGCAUUAGCAUGUAGAUUCCGAGCUUCAAAAUCUUUAAGGUCAAGAUCGUAUCAAAGAUUUCUUCUUUUCAAAUGCUAAUAAUAGAUCAAACAUUCAAGCCCAAAGGCCCAAAGAUGGAUUUACUUUUAGGAUUUACAAGAAUAAAACAAGGCGAAGGAAGAAAUCCAGAUUUAUGAAGAAAAACUCAGCCAGGCACGAAUAAAAACAUAAAACUAAAUGUGCAGGUAAAUAAAAGCUGCUCCCAAAUUGGAUAUGAAACAGGAGCGCAGCAUCCAUUUCAGUUGGCAAGCAGUGGUGGGAAUCCCACUAAUGCUGAGCAUAUACAACUUUCUAUCUCCAAGACUUCAGUAGGGUAGAGGUAUUCCUCUGGAACAGCUGGUCCUCUAUGCUGACUUAGCCCUUUAGAGCCAUACAGAACUGGGCAUAAGCCAGGAUGAUAGUCCUAAAUGAUUCCAGGUCUGCAUAUGCUCUGGACAUCCCCACAGCCUUCAUCCAUCACUAAACGCCUGGGGAACUAAGUCUGAUUUUUAAAUAGCAUAAAGCAACGUCAGUUGUCUCCUAACACAGCUACUCAUCUGUCAAGUUGUAGUAGGGAAUCCAAGUCAGGAUAUGAUUUCACAACAAGGUAUGCUUACAGAUCUUUCGAUAACAGAUGCUGGGUGCCAUUUGCUUUGGGUAUUGACACAUCAGAGCUGUAAGUGUUAGUAUUCUGCCAACCAGGACUGAAAGCAAUCGGUGUUCCUCAUACGACACUGUAGCUUGUUCCUAAUGUCAUCAUUGCUCACACGAGAACAGAACGAACAUGACAUUUGCUGACACAAAUGAAUCAAAGAUUAGCCACUUUCACUGACCGCACAUAAAGUACCGGAGUGCUUGUUUAAGGAGUGACCCUCUGAUUUCAUCAAAGCUGUAUUUAUACAGUGGCUACAGUGAAGGCGUCCACAUCAGGAGCACACACACUGCCCCAGCCUGCUCUGCACUUCUCCCUUGUAUACAAACAGUUGUACUGUGGGGUUGCAUGGCUAAACGGACUUGGGAAUUAAACCCAACCUUCAAAACCAAUGGAGAACAUAUCUGAACUUGAAGUAGGUCACAUUCUCAUCACGUCUAGUACACUCUGUUCCAAUAUACCAACUGUAUGUUGAAUUCAACUCCAAGAAAAUGGUGUAGCUUGCAAUAAACUAGCAAUCCUACCCUUCCUGCCAAGAAUCAGACGCUAUUUUGCCUAAAUACUGCAUGAAACCCAAUGCUUUUCCUUGUCAUUCAUAGUUUGUAUUUUUUUUUACUGUACAAAGCAACACUGCUCAAAGAAAAUUUUGCAAAUGCUCAGAAGAGGAAAAACGGUAAGAUCUGAAUGUUAAACGGUUUUAAUGAUCUCUUAAAAUUCACUUCCCCAGCUACUCUCUGUACAGCUUAUUUACUGAGUCGUUUCUAAUGUGCAACACACCUGGGUCCUGCGCACAGCACAGAUAAAUCACCACAUUUUAGGGAGCGGUAAGAAGAUUAAAGAGGGAGAAAGCUGGCCAUUAUGAAAGAAACAGGUUCAGUGCAUUUUAUUUUUUAAGCAUGAUACUGUGAAAAAUGACUGGAAUAUUUCCAGAGUGAAAGAAAUCAAGCAGGCGUCUAAAAUUACAGGUAAUGGUGUGCACGGAGGCUGCCGCAUGAUUGGGGUAUUCUUUUGCCUCAUAAACCGAAGAAAAUGUGUUAAAAUGAAGUACUAUAAAACUGUGAUUUAUAAGAAGUGAGGGAGAUAUUCUUGAGCUUUGACUUUAAAAUGUUAUUUUUAUAUCCACUAAGAUUUCAUUUUAAUCUAUCUUUAUGACAGAUUAGAUUUAUUUGAGCCCGAGUUUAUACGGCCUUGGUAAAACAGACCUUUUUAGGAGCAACAACCUGUAGAGCAAUUUUCCCAAGUGUUCAGGUGAUGGAGCGGUUCAUCUCCACAGGUGAGGUUAAAGGUACAUCGCUCCCACUCGCUCCUGCUUCGAGCUGCAGGAAGGACACCUCCUCUGACCUCACCUUCUGCCCACAAGAGAGAAACCAGGCCCAGCUGGUCUGAUAACCGUGGGCAUCCUGCUGCAUGGCAGGGCCUGCUGCACAGAGCACUGGGAAAGGAAAAAGCUGAGAAAAUCCAGGCUGCCUUGAUUAGACCCUUCCCAGGAGAAGCUGAAGGUAGGAGGGAGAGGAUGGGAGGAAUAGGUGCUCCCAUCGGGCUGAUGGGAGCACAGCUGGAUGGCUUCAGGUCAGCUAAUAUUUAAAAAUAAGUAGGAUUUAAAUAAACCAGCUAAGGAGAUUAGUGUCAGCUGUUGCGGCUGCCUGUACAGGGAAUGUUAGAGCAGAAAUAUCUCCUCAGUAGUUUAUGGUCUGAAGACACAAUGCUACGGAUUGGUGAAAUUAAAAAAGAGAAAAAAAAUUGCAUCACGUUCAAUUCAAACCCUCCAUUCUGGAGGGUGCUAAGAGAAGAGGAGUUUGGUUGGAUGCUGGUGAUUGAAAACAAAAACCAAACCACACCAUUUAGCCUGUGCUAUUUGUUUCCAUAGAUAUCAUCCCAAUCAAGGGAGAGAAAAAUGUUAUCUCCAUAGCUGGCAUGCAGAGGCACAGCUACAUUUAGGGGUGUUGAAACUCUUCUAUUUAAAAAGGCUCUUUUUCACUUGCCCAUAAUUGAAAUUUUUCAGGCUGAAAUUUUCCAGGCCUAAUCAUAGCCCAAGGGUGAAGUAAAAACAUUUCAUUGGUAGCUGCUGAGCGCUCAGCACUUCUGAAAAUCAGGUCAUUCAUUUAGAUGUCUUAAUAUAUACUUAAGAGCUGAUUUUAAACACCUUUUUUUGAACACAUUGGCCUUACAGUCGAUUUGUUUCACUCACUUAUCAAUGCCUAAUUUAUGAUGAUUUACACAGCUACCCCGAAUUGGAAAAUUCUAUAUCUCGUAGUUUAUCCCUUCUCUAUCAUUUACAUCUUUUUGAUGUCAAGAUUUUUCCAAGGUGAGAACUACAGCUGGCCAAACACAAAUUACACAGCCAUUACAUUUUACAGGCUUCUGGGUUGCACAAAGUGAAUUUUUAGGGCUAAUCUCUAGCCCAGGCAUAUACCUAAUACUGCUUCUGACAACAUAAACCCUCCAGCUGUCUGAAUCUGACUCCAUUUCAGAGAACACAGAAAUACAGUGACUUGCUUUAACAGCACUCCUGCAGGAGCACGGAAUUUGGUGAACACCUGGAAAUAAUUAAUUGCUACUUUAUUUUUAAAAUUGAUUAGCAUAUGAUUUAAUUUAGUUGACCUUCAUACGAAAAUUCAGUGCUUACUCAGUGCUAAUGAAUUAAAAUCAGUGCAUUGUGCACAAGAAGUUUCCCAUGAUUACAUACAUAAUGGGAGUUCACCCUUUAUCUACGCUCAAUCCAUUUCUGUCUCUCAUUUUCCUGUCAAAAAGCCCCACCACUCAGUCACGGUAAGCAGCAGUCGGCAGGAUGGGUAUCUGAGGAGAUACACACUCAGGUGCACUCAGUCCAUCUAAAAUGAGUUGGAAGUCCCAGCACAAUCUUGUGUGGAGAGGCAUAUUAGGCUGAGUGCAGCCUGUCUGAUAUGUGUUUUAUCUGCUGCAUAAACAUUAAUGACUUUAAUCACUCUGUUCUGACUUCCACUACAUAAAGAGGAGCAUCUUGGCAUUGAAAUACUCUGUGCAUAAAGGACCUACUUCCACAUGCACAGUAAUGAAGCACUGUGAAGGUGCUGCUGAGAGGUGUCAGCUCUCCCAUCAACAGCUAAUAGAAAUGCAUGUGAGUUUUCAAGGGUAAAAUCACAACGUUUCUUUGCUGUAUUUCCAGACAGUGGAGAUAGAAACUUGGCACAGAUGAGGAGAAGAUACCUCUACAGCAUAACUUCAGACAUCUUGAUCUUCUUAUAAUACGACUAUUCUGCUUUUUUCCUGAGGACAGAGCACUCAGAAAACUCCAUCUGCUCAAAGGCCGCACGCAAACUGGGCCCACAUGAACUUUUUUUCUGGACAGUAUCUCUUCUAUUAUGGAUAACAGAAGAGAAAUGUGCUCACAGGAAUGUGGGACAUGUAAUUCCACAGUAGAUUUUUAUUUUUUAAUCAGAGUUCCUGAAGGCAUUAUUCCUGCACUGUUCAGAAGAUUUUAUCAUGUACCAUAUUUCUACGGUCUCAUACUUUCUCCUCUCCUUGAAAGAAAAAAAAAAAAGAAUUAAAAAAGAUAAAGGAGGCUCAGAUUAAUAAAAUAUUAGAACUUCA